rnacentral:rRNA from 1 species
CCUACGGGUGGCAGCAGUGGGGAAUAUUGGACAAUGGGGGCAACCCUGAUCCAGCCAUGCCGCGUGUGUGAAGAAGGCCCUCGGGUUGUAAUGCACUUUCAGUGAGGAAGAACGCCUGGUGGUUAAUACCCAUCAGGAAAGACAUCACUCACAGAAGAAGCACCGGCUAACUCCGUGCCAGUAGCCGCGGUAAUACGGAGGGUGCGAGCGUUAAUCGGAAUUACUGGGCGUAAAGCGCGCGUAGGUGGCUUGAUAAGCCGGUUGUGAAAGCCCCGGGCUCAACCUGGGAACGGCAUCCGGAACUGUCAAGCUAGAGUGCAGGAGAGGAAGGUAGAAUUCCCGGUGUAGCGGUGAAAUGCGUAGAGAUCGGGAGGAAUACCAGUGGCGAAGGCGGCCUUCUGGACUGACACUGACACUGAGGUGCGAAAGCGUGGGUAGCAAACAGGAUUAGAUACCCUGGUAGUC